CGGGGCGUAGCGCAGCCCGGUAGCGCACCUGCUUUGGGAGCAGGGGGUCCCAGGUUCAAAUCCUGGUGCCCCGA
rnacentral:tRNA from 1 species